rnacentral:rRNA from 1 species
GAUGAACGCUGGCGGCGUGCCUAAUACAUGCAAGUAGAACGCUGAAGGAGGAGCUUGCUCUUCUGGAUGAGUUGCGAACGGGUGAGUAACGCGUAGGUAACCUGCCUGGUAGCGGGGGAUAACUAUUGGAAACGAUAGCUAAUACCGCAUGACAACAGUUAUUGCAUGAUAACUGUUUAAAAGGGGCAACUGCUCCACUACCAGAUGGACCUGCGUUGUAUUAGCUAGUUGGUGAGGUAACGGCUCACCAAGGCGACGAUACAUAGCCGACCUGAGAGGGGGAUCGGCCACACUGGGACUGAGACACGGCCCAGACUCCUACGGGAGGCAGCAGUAGGGAAUCUUCGGCAAUGGACGGAAGGCUGACCGAGCAACGCCGCGUGAGUGAAGAAGGGUUUCGGAUCGUAAAGCUCUGUUGUAAGAGAAGAACGAGUGUGAGAGUGGAAAGUUCACACUGUGACGGUAUCUUACCAGAAAGGGACGGCUAACUACGUG